rnacentral:rRNA from 1 species
AGUGAACGCUGGCGGUAGGCCUAACACAUGCAAGUCGAACGGCAGCACAGUAAGAGCUUGCUCUUACGGGUGGCGAGUGGCGGACGGGUGAGGAAUACAUCGGAAUCUACUUUUUCGUGGGGGAUAACGUAGGGAAACUUACGCUAAUACCGCAUACGACCUACGGGUGAAAGCAGGGGAUCUUCGGACCUUGCGCGAUUGAAUGAGCCGAUGUCGGAUUAGCUAGUUGGCGGGGUAAAGGCCCACCAAGGCGACGAUCCGUAGCUGGUCUGAGAGGAUGAUCAGCAACACGGGAACUGAGAAACGGUCCAGACUCCUACGGGAGGCAGCAGUGGGGAAUAUUGGACAAUGGGCGCAAGCCUGAUCCAGCCAUACCGCGUGGGUGAAGAAGGCCUUCGGGUUGUAAAGCCCUUUUGUUGGGAAAGAAAAGCAGCAGGUUAAUACCCCGCUGUUCUGACGGUACCCAAAGAAUAAGCACCGGCUAACUUCGUG